UACGUAGGGUGCAAGCGUUGUCCGGAAUUAUUGGGCGUAAAGAGCUCGUAGGCGGUCUGUCGCGUCUGCUGUGAAAACUCAGGGCUUAACCCUGAGCUUGCAGUGGGUACGGGCAGGCUCGAGUUCGGUAGGGGAGACUGGAAUUCCUGGUGUAGCGGUGAAAUGCGCAGAUAUCAGGAGGAACACCGGUGGCGAAGGCGGGUCUCUGGGCCGAUACUGACGCUGAGGAGCGAAAGCGUGGGGAGCGAACAGG
rnacentral:rRNA from 1 species